rnacentral:tRNA from 1 species
GCCCUGGUGGCUCAGUGAUUAAGCACUGGGCUGCUAACCCAAAGGUCAGUGGUUCAAACCCACCGGCU